rnacentral:rRNA from 1 species
UACGAAGGGGGCGAGCGUUGUUCGGAAUUAUUGGGCGUAAAGGGUGCGUAGGCGGUUUUGUAAGUCUUAUGUGAAAUCUAUGGGCUCAACUCAUAGACUGCAUGAGAAACUGCAGGGCUUGAGUAUGGGAGAGGUGAGUGGAAUUCCUGGUGUAGCGGUGAAAUGCGUAGAUAUCAGGAGGAACACCGAUGGCGAAGGCAAUCCCCUGGGCCUGCACUGACGCUCAUGCACGAAAGCGUGGGGAGCAAACAGG